CGCUUCUUUUUCCACCGGAGCUUGCUCCACCGGAAAAAGAGGAGUGGCGAACGGGUGAGUAACACGUGGGUAACCUGCCCAUCAGAAGGGGAUAACACUUGGAAACAGGUGCUAAUACCGUAUAACAAUCAAAACCGCAUGGUUUUGAUUUGAAAGGCGCUUUCGGGUGUCGCUGAUGGAUGGACCCGCGGUGCAUUAGCUAGUUGGUGAGGUAACGGCUCACCAAGGCCACGAUGCAUAGCCGACCUGAGAGGGUGAUCGGCCACAUUGGGACUGAGACACGGCCCAAACUCCUACGGGAGGCAGCAGUAGGGAAUCUUCGGCAAUGGACGAAAGUCUGACCGAGCAACGCCGCGUGAGUGAAGAAGGUUUUCGGAUCGUAAAACUCUGUUGUUAGAGAAGAACAAGGAUGAGAGUAACUGUUCAUCCCUUGACGGUAUCUAACCAGAAAGCCACGGCUAACUACGUGCCAGCAGCCGCGGUAAUACGUAGGUGGCAAGCGUUGUCCGGAUUUAUUGGGCGUAAAGCGAGCGCAGGCGGUUUCUUAAGUCUGAUGUGAAAGCCCCCGGCUCAACCGGGGAGGGUCAUUGGAAACUGGGAGACUUGAGUGCAGAAGAGGAGAGUGGAAUUCCAUGUGUAGCGGUGAAAUGCGUAGAUAUAUGGAGGAACACCAGUGGCGAAGGCGGCUCUCUGGUCUGUAACUGACGCUGAGGCUCGAAAGCGUGGGGAGCAAACAGGAUUAGAUACCCUGGUAGUCCACGCCGUAAACGAUGAGUGCU
rnacentral:rRNA from 1 species